UACGUAGGGUGCGAGCGUUAAUCGGAAUUACUGGGCGUAAAGCGUGCGCAGGCGGUUUUGAAAGUCAGAUGUGAAAUCCCCGGGCUCAACCUGGGAACUGCGUUUGAAACUCCAAAGCUAGAGUAUAGGAGAGGGGGGUAGAAUUCCACGUGUAGCAGUGAAAUGCGUAGAGAUGUGGAGGAAUACCAAUGGCGAAGGCAGCCCCCUGGCUUAAUACUGACGCUCAUGCACGAAAGCGUGGGGAGCAAACAGG
rnacentral:rRNA from 1 species